GAUGAACGCUAGCGGGAGGCCUAACACAUGCAAGCCGAGCGGUAUUGUUUCUUCGGAAAUGAGGGAGCGGCGUACGGGUGCGUAACACGUGUGCAACCUGCCUUUAUCUGGGGGAUAGCCUUUCGAAAGGAAGAUUAAUACUCCAUAACAUAUUGAACGGCAUCGUUUAAUAUUGAACGCUCCGGCGGAUAGAGAUGGGCACGGGCAAGAUUAGCUAGUUGGUAAGGUAACGGCUCACCAAGGCGAUGAUCUUUAGGGGGCCUGAGAGGGGGAUCCCCCGCACUGGUGCUGAGACACGGACCAGACUCCUACGGGAGGCAGCAGUGAGGAAUAUUGAACAAUGGGUGAAAGCCUGAUCCAGCCAUCCCGCGUGAAGGACGACUGCCCUAUGGGUUGUAAUCUUCUUUUGUAUAGGGAUAAACCUACCCUCGUGAGGGUAGCUGAAGGUACUAUACGAAUAAGCACCGGCUAACUCCGUGCCAGCCGCCGCCGUAA
rnacentral:rRNA from 1 species